UACGAAGGGGGCUAGUGUUGUUCGGAUUUACUGGGCGUAAAGCGCACGUAGGCGGAUAUUUAAGUCAGGGGUGAAAUCCCGGGGCUCAACCCCGGAACUGCCUUUGAUACUGGGUAUCUUUGAGUCCGGAAGAGGUGAGUGGAAUUCCGAGUGUAGAGGUGAAAUUCGUAGAUAUUCGGAGGAACACCAGUGGCGAAGGCGGCUCACUGGUCCGGUACUGACGCUGAGGUGCGAAAGCGUGGGGAGCAAACAGG
rnacentral:rRNA from 1 species